GACGAACGCUGGCGGCGCGCCUAACACAUGCAAGUCGAACGAGAGAGGAAGAGCUUGCUUUUCCGAUCGAGUGGCGAACGGGUGAGUAACGCGUGAAGAACCUGCCUCAAAGAGGGGGACAGCAGUUGGAAACGACUGCUAAUACCGCAUAAGCCCACGGCUCGGCAUUGAGCAGAGGGAAAAGGAGCAAUCCGCUUUGAGAUGGCCUCGCGUCCGAUUAGCUAGUUGGUGAGGUAACGGCCCACCAAGGCGACGAUCGGUAGCCGGACUGAGAGGUUGAACGGCCACAUUGGGACUGAGACACGGCCCAGACUCCUACGGGAGGCAGCAGUGGGGAAUAUUGCACAAUGGGGGAAACCCUGAUGCAGCGACGCCGCGUGGAGGAAGAAGGUCUUCGGAUUGUAAACUCCUGUUGUUGAGGAAGAUAAUGACGGUACUCAACAAGGAAGUGACGGCUAACUACGUGCCAGCCGCCGCAGUAA
rnacentral:rRNA from 1 species